UACUUGUUUUGUAAACAAAUCCUUUUACUCUCCUUUUUAGAGAAGAAAAUAAUUAUGAGCAGGUGAAGGUUAAAAUUGAGGUCCUCCAUUUUAACAAGAAGUCCAGCAGUUUCGUGAGUUAUAUCUCAUUAAAGUGGGUAUUAUAAAUUUGCCUCAAUCAACAGCUCAAAGGGUAUUUUUAUUUUCUCAAUAAAUAUUAGUUCCUUAUGAUAGAGUAAAGCAGGUGCAAGAGUGAGGGAAUUAGUUGGCCAGGUGAACUACUGGUCCAGAGAGCAAGACGGAAGAUUGUGCUUCUUUGCAAAUGACUCUAGGUAGGGAAAUCCUCUACAAAAUCUUAACACCUUCUCAACUGGUAAGAAUACUUAGCUAAGCAAUGAAGAUGAGUAACGCAAAGCUGCCAUAUGGCAUACUGAGUAGUUUGAGGAAAAGGAAUCCUAUUACCCUAUUAAAAAAAAAAAAAAAAGUUUGUGUUAAAUCCCACUCCUCAAAUUGCUGUCUGAUUCUGGUGAUGUGCUGGCUUGUAUUUUCUAUUAUAUCCCCUCCCUCUAAAAGGAGCUAUCAGUAUGAAGUUGUGGAAGGGGUGUCACAAAACCUCUUCUAAGCACAGAUACAAAUGAUUUUUCUUUGGUACUUCAUUUUCACAAUUCCAUGCCCUGAGGCUGAUACGAAAGAUUGGAAUAAACCUCAUCAAUGUCAUAAUAUUUUUUACUGACAAAACUGUUAAACUUAGAGGACACAUAUCCUACAGAACACCUCAUAUCCCACAGAAGACUUCACAAAUCCCAUGUUUGGUCUGAUGUGAGGCCAAGGCUUUUGUCUUCUAAAUGCAAAACAAUGACAAGUAGUACACACAUCCUCUGAAACACAUAAUGGAAUUACACAAAAAUAAAAAAAUUAAUGUGUUACAGCAGAAAUAAAUGUAAUGAGGGCUUAGAUGGGCAUAAGCAAAAAAAAAUGCCAACUGUAUUUUUUUGUUGAUAUAACUAAACUUUUAUUAUUUUGAAAUACAUCAGAGGUUUUAUGUAAAGAAAUCAUGAGACAUAGCAUUUAUAGGGCUGUAGGUCAAAGUCAGUUUUUAAUUCAGAGUGUGAUUUUUAGACGUUGCCUGUUUGACUUUUCAAGAACUCAUCAUCCAGCUUUUGUGCCAUGACAGUACUAAAAGGUUUGGUGAUGCCAGCACCACAAGAUGGUGCUGAUGGCUGGCUGUCUGGACCUGUUAUUUGGCUAUGCCGGAGAUCAGACAUGAGGAGUUCUUAUGCAGUCAGGCAUGCAAACUAUGCAUACUCAAGAAGAGAUCAGCCAGAGGCCUUUAUUACCUAUGAGACCUUGACCACAUGAGCACUGAGGAGAAAUUGCCAGGCAGACUUUGGAAGCAGAACUAUAAACCGUAACUUGAUGAGUCUAGAAGAUCCUGAAUAUUGGCUCCAACUCAGGAGACUUAGAGAGAAGACAAAGUCCUAGCCGGACAUAAGGAAAGGCUGUUUCACCAUGACAAUGACCACGCACUGGCACGGGUGCCCAGGAACACUGUGGAGUCCCCAUCUUCAGAGACUUUCAAAAUCCAGCUGGACAAAGCCCUGUGUUACGGAAGUGAAGAAAGCACUUGAGUCACCACCAAGAAAAGAAAAACAACCUAAGAGGAAAAGACCACCUACAGCGGAUGAGGGGCCAGACACCUGCCUUUAAUUGAGUGCCUAAAGAAAACAGUAUAUGGCCACCCUUUAAUUUCUAAUGAGUUUUGACUUGCUUUGACACAAGCUAUGUGAACUGCCAUAUGUGCUGUUAGUUGACAGGGAGAAGGAAAUUCUUAUGCUAAAGUAUUUUGUGAUCUGUGCAGACUUGAAGCAUGGUCCAAAAAUGUGAAAAUGAGAAUAAAAUCCUACCUGGCUGAACAUAAAAUGGGAGAAUGUACUGUACAGGAUACACUGGACAGGAAUACUAAUCCUGUUGAUUGGAGGGCAAUAGUAUAAGGGUCUUUGUCACUAAACUCUUCAUUCUGCGUCUUUCUCCUCUUUCCUGAAGCUAAUGAGGGAGAGAUAGUGAUUUUAUGAUUGAAUAUGGAAAAAUACAUUACUUGUUUACCUGCUUGGAGCCAGAGGAAAAAUGGAUGCAAGAUUAGAAAAAGUCAGCCUUAGUCCUGAUUUAUUUUUCUUUUAACUCAGGCUGCCUACCUUCAUUGUUUCCUACAUCAUCGUGUUUUCAACACUUUCUCCUGAAGAGUUUAUCCUAAAUAUACUGUGGCCAAGAUCCCAGCCCACUUUGCAUUCCUGCCUUUCUGUCACUGCUAGAAAUAUUACUGCUCUUCUAUCCUACUGAAUUAGAAAAAAGAUGACAUCUCUGACUGCUUUCUCCAUCACCUCACACAUCUAACUCUUCUUGACUCUCCUCUCAAGCUAUUUCCAAGAUCUUGUUCCACUGCUCAAACAGCUUUUCCCUCAUCCCUCAUCUCUCCCCAUCACAGCCUACUCUCUUCUUCUUGAAUGCACAAGUGCACAUGCACUUUCUGCCAAAACCAUCUUCAUAGCUGCUCAUUUUGACUGUCAAACCUGCCUCCUCAGGCCAUUCAUCGCCUUCCCCUUCACUACCUGAUCUGCUCAAGCUCUUACUGAGAGCCAGGGAGGCCUCUCAGCUCUGUGCUCCUGCCCUCCUCCCACGGAGUCCCCCUCUUGCCGUACAUGCGAAUAGCCCUUAUAGCUGCCUCUUGCACCAGCUUGAGUGUUGCCAUUACUGCUGUGCUUCUGCACAAGUCAUAAUGUUUUUACACUACUGUACAAAAGCCAUGUUCUUGUCCUCCUCUAAUGGGACUAAGUAAUAGCUUGAUGAACACUGCCAGUAUGUGGUCUACUAAUUAAAUUAUUUUAUACAGUUUGAAGAGUAUAUUACCUUUUAAGCCAGUGCCAUCACAUAGUUCAGACAGUCAGCCUGCUUAUUCAUAUUAACACCAUUACUUCACUCAAGGGCCUUUUCCAGUCCUUUCUGCUAUAACUGUACAUUUGCCAUCACAAUCUUGGAAAUCUUUUUGUGUUAUUUUAUUCUUGCUGUUAAUGUUCUGCAGUGUCUGUUAUGGGUAUCUUGAGACAAAGAUAGAGAGAUGCAGCUCCUGAGAGAGGAAACCAAGACUCUAGAGUGAGCAUAGCUCAGAGAGAAAACUUACCAUCAGUUAAUUGACUUUAGGCCAGUUAUGGAUCUAUUUCCUUAGCAGCUUAUUUUGUAAAUCCAAAAUCCAUGAAAGGCUACAAGCUUUGAUUUGAUACAAGGAUUUUUAAACCCAGAAAAUUAUGUUAUUUUAUCAUAAUUGAUGCUUACAGCCUUUUGUUAAAUUGCUUUGGACUUACUCCAGAGAACAAAUAAUGUCAGCUGUUUUUUGUACAUUUUGCCUUACAUAAGAAGGGUCUUGGCUAAAUGCUGUCAUGACAUUUCUGGUCUAAAACUGUUCUUCCUUUAAAUCAGAACCCAUCAGAUCAUAACAGUCUGGGAUCAGGAUGAGGAACAAAAGUAGCCCUAGUUAUGUGUAAUUUUAGAUCUAUAACAGUCACCAGAUGACUCACUAGUGUGUUGGCAAUGCUGAGUUAAAAAAUAAAGCCCUCAGUCCUUCAAUUACAGCUGUUUGGGAAGAUCCCUUGGAUUGUACAAAGUUGCACUGGAGAAAUUGUUCUUGGUAUAUAUUUAGGUGUAAAUUAAAGAGUAGUUCAUUUAAGGCUAAUGUUUGAGUCUAUUUCCAUACAAGGUGAGAAAUAUGAGCUUAGGUUUUUAGAGUGCUUUGUAUUUGCAAGCUGCUCUCAUAAAGGUAAUUAGUUUGCAAGAGAUCUCUAGUGUGCUUGAUAUGAGAGACACAAACAGGUCUUUCAUCAUGCUCAUUAUACAAGAGAAAUCUUUAUAUCAAGUACUGACUGAUAAUGUUAAUAGCUAUGAUAAAACACAGUAUAAUGAGAAGUGCCUUCCAAUGAACUACAGUAAAUCAUGCAAAGCAAUUCACUUAAAAGGGCUAUUCUGAAUCCUUUCAUUAUACUUUUACAAAGUAACAUCAUCGCAAGUUGGAUUUUGUAGUAAGCGUACAGUGCAAGAGGCCUCGAGAAGGAGGAAAAUUGGGCUUUGCAUUUUGCUAGUUGAAGACUGCUUAAUCUUAGAGAACUUCCCAUCCAUGGGCAGAGAUAUCAUUUUACAAAGACUAUUGUAUGAGAACAAAUGCAAAGGUUUUUAGAUAGACCUCUAUGUAGCAGGGAUGCCAGACACUAUUUUCUUCUCAUCUUACAGCAUUAAAAGAUGAUGUAAAACAGGAUGUAAAUGAUCUUGCAUUUUAUGAACAGACUAGAAGGUAAUUUUAUUUAAAGAGGAAGCAUUAUUUUGAGAACAAAGGGUAGAUUCUUAAGAGUUACAUGCAAGGUUGGUCUAAUUAAAAGGAAAAAUAUUUUUAUGUUAUCUUUAGUUUGAUUCUUUGAUAUUUUUUUAAUAAAACAUCAGGUUCUUCUGCUGCUGCUUUAGGAAUUGGAGAACAGUCACCCACCAUUUGUUGUAAGAGUAAAAUUGAACAGAAAAGAGUUUGCAGGUUCCAGGGUAAGAGCAGAAUUAUAAAGGAGAGAGCUUGUAGGACAGGUUCACAAAUACAAAGUUUUCUCAUUUUUGUUUCCAUGAGACAGUCAUGAAGAUGGAAAAUACUUUUGAAAUGCAUUCCAUACACUGAAAAAAUAGCAAAAGGGGUUCAGGGCAGAUGAGUUGCAAUGAAUCAAAGUCCAGUGAACUCAACGGAGAGACUGCUGCUGACUUCAGCAGAAUUAUUGUUGUAAUUUGGUUUAGAUUAAUUUCACAUUUCAUUUUUAUUUAUUCUAAUUUUUUAACUAUGAUGUACAUUUUAAAUCAAUAAAUAUAAAUAUUGCUAUUUUUUAAAAAA